AUUUAAAGAGGAGAACAGCAUCCAAAAUUGCCAGAAAUGAUGAUGGAAAUGUAGGCGAAUUUGGUAUCGGUCCAUUUAGGGAAGAUGCUAAUACUCACUUACUAGAGGAUGGGCUACUAUCACCAUAUUCAAAGACUCGGACGGCAGAAAC